rnacentral:rRNA from 1 species
GGCAUAGGAUGGGCUGCGGCGUAUCAGGUUGUAGGGGGUGUAACGUACCCUCUAGCCCUCUACGCGUACGGGUGUUGGGAGACAUAGCCCGGAGAUGGAUUCUGAGACACGAAUCCAGACCCUACGGGGUGCAGCAGGCGCGAAAACUUGGCAAUGCGAGAAAUCGUGACCAGGGAACUCCAAGUGCAUCGGGUAAGACCGGUGCUUUUCUUGACUCUAAAUAGGUCUUGGAAUAAGGGGUGGGUAAGGACGGUGCCAGCCGCCGCGGUAAUACCGGCGCCUCAAGUGGUAGUCGCUUUUAUUGGGCCUAAAACGUCCGUAGCCGGUCUGAUACAUUCGUGGGUAAAUCAACCAGCUCAACUGGUUGAAUUCUGCGAGGACGGUCAGACUUGGGACCGGGAGAGGUGUGGGGUACGCUCAGGGUAGGGGUAAAAUCCUGUCAUCCUGAGCGGACCACCUGUUGCGAAGGCGCCACACUAGAACGGAUCCGACGGUCAGGGACGAAGCCUAGGGGCACGAACCGGAUUAGAUACCCGGGUAGUCCUAGGUGUAAACGCUGUGGACUUGAUGUUGGGGGUGCUCCGAGCACUCUCAGUGUCGAAGCGAAGGUGAUAAGUCCACUGCCUGGGAAGUACGGUCGCAAGGCUGAAACUUAAAGGAAUUGGCGGGGGAGCACCGCAACCUGAGGAUUGUGCGGUUUAAUUGGAUUCAACGCCGGA